rnacentral:misc_RNA from 1 species
AGCGGUUCCACCAUCCUUAAAUGUGCAUUUGCUAUUUCUUCCUUUAGAUUCUGAAUCUGAUGUAGAACAAAGCGUAAACCUUUGACCAUCAAGAGAGCAAAUGAACGCUUUGAGUUCUCUCCAGAACAGGAAACGUCUCCUAGCUCUUCCAUCAGUUUCUGGUAACUUGCUUCCAUCUCUUUCUCUUUAGCCGGGGCAGAAAGUUUUUGCAGAGUGACUAAACAAAAAUCCAGGAGUCGUUUGAAAUAACCCACAUCCAAGGUCCCUGAAUUUAGAAUCUGCGCUAGAA